AAUAGGAGAAAGGUAUCUUUGCAUACCGAAUUUGAUACGAAUGAGGCUGUGCUUUCUUUGUUCUUGCUUCAUGUAUAGGGAAAGAAUGCAGGUCACUGUGCUAGCAGGACAGCUGCCUGCAGGUAUAGUUCUAUGCUGUGCUUGCCGGCUGCAUUGAUUAUCUAAGGGCUGUUGUGGCCAGCUUAAGCAGCACAAUGAGCUGAGCUUUGGUAAAUGUUUCAUGCUCUGCAGGAUUCCUGGCGAGAGGCCCUUAGGUUUAGGGCAAAGUAUGAACGCAGAAAGAUGAGGCAAGAAGCUGGAGAAGCAACUCCUGUGGCAGCCAAGAGGCCAUGCAAGCCUACCAUUUCUGAGGAUGUUCAGAAAAUAGUUACAAGGCCUUACGUGGCUACUGAUCUCUGUGAUGCAGAGGACCCAGAAAGUAUUGCGGCACAUAUAUCUGGCAUGCAGAAGGAGAUGAGGAAGGCGAGGCCAGACAAAGCAUAUAUAAGUGACAGCAUGUCUAGGACGUUUGCAGCACGACGUGCAUGGAUUUCGAAAGAAAUACCUUCUGUGGAGCAGGUCACAGAGAAGUACCCAGCAUUGAUGCUGGCCACUAUGGUAAAUUUUACUCUUAAGGGGAGAUGCGGCUGGAAAAUUAUUUAUUUUUUACCUAGGACUUUGCAAGUUUGCUUCUUUGUAGAGAUUGUGAUGCUGAUUUCAAAACUAAAUAAAUUUAAUGUUUCUCUUAUAGUUGCCGAGUUCUAGGAGAUCUACGAAGAACAAAAUACAGUGAAACCUCAGUAAUAUGUAACUGGUAGUGGUGGCAACACGGCAUUACAUGCUGAACGGUACUAUGCCAAGUACCAAUUAGCCUCUUGUGAAGUGCAUCACCACUACCAACAACUAGAUAAAUGCAAUGCCACAGCACAGAUUGCCUAGAAUAUGCAAUGUCUUUUUCCAAAGCACGGAAAGAAAUUCUCUUUUGCAUGAUUGUUCACUAGCACGCAAAGGCGAUGAACCACGAUGUUGAUACCAAGGAGCAUUUCGUAACUUUGACAGAGAAAGCAGCUGCAGGCAUGGUCGGCAGAGCAGAUGACUCGUCCUGCUUUUUCCGAUGCAUGCGCACGUGUCUGUACAAGGAUAGGGUACUCAGCUAAAACUGGCGCCAUUUUACAGACAUGUGAUACGAUGUGGUGCCACAUAUCGGGAGCAAUUUGUGUGCAGCGUGUCGCCUACUAGCUCAUGCCAUCACAUGCCAGCAGACCUGCACCAGCGUUUUCUGAGAGUAUCCAUUUAUCGUAGAAAACUGUGGGAGCAGCUAUGCAGGGAGGUUUUUCCAUGCCAGCGUCACUCCUAGCUGACCUUGCACGAACACUGUAUGUAUCUUGUCGAGCCAACGUGGCGAUGGUGAGCUGCUUUCGUUUCUGCAAGUGGCAUGCACUUGAAGCGGUCUCGCACAAAGAGGUGACGGAGAAGAGCGGCGAGUUUAGGUUGUCACUUUAAAAAGCAUGCAGUAUGCUUAGAGCGAUGCUAUAGUAUACACUCUAUGCCACACACAGACUUUCUGUUAUCAACACUCAAAUCCACUUUGGGAGGGUGCUGUUUCCAAUCCACUGAUGCCAUCGGGAAGUAUUCGCUGGCUGAGCUGUACAGCAAUCCAAAAUAUUUAUUUCAUCGACUCAGAAUGGGACUACUAUGAAUGCAACAAAGCCAACUGGUUUGUUGGGAAGUACAAGCAACGUAUAUGUACAAAAUUCACGUCUUCCGGAUAGACCUUGUACAUCGAAAAAUUAAAACUAUUAAGUAGUGUAGUGCAUGAAUAUUUGCUUCCUAAUUUCCUUGGGGCAAUUUUUUCCCUGUUCUGAAUAUAGAUUUAUGAAUGAUUUUGCUGUAAUGCAAGGCUGGCUUCCUAAUGUCCCGGAGUGUCUUUCUCUGCUUUAACCACCAUUGUUCACCCUGGUAUUAUGCGAUUGGAAAAAUGAAAUCGUUUCAUGCACAUGUAUAUGUUACUGUUGGAAAAUGAAAAUUGGAUUGAAAAACCGAGAAAUUUGGAAAACCAUAAAUUACUUGCUUUUGGUGUUUACUGCAGCAGUACUGGUUAGUAUAUUUGUAGGAAGCUAAUGUUGAUGUCUCUUUUUUGCACUCCAAACUAUCCAAAGGUUCAAAGUGAGUUUCACUCACAAACAGGAAUUGCUUGUUGGGAACACUGCAAGAUGUGCUCUCAAUGGCUUCCACCAAAAUUAUUGAGGUGGCCAAGAAGAAGCGCCACCUGGAGCAUUUCUUUGCCUCCCUUGAUGAGGCAAUGAGUGCCGCACAGCCUCUCCACAAAGACCUGAAGCCUACAGCUUCAGUUUGUGUCCUUUCAAGCCUCGUCAAGGAGAGGAUGGAGGCUUUUAUUUCCCCCUACCACCCGGAUGCGUUGCAUCAUGUCCCGACCAUUACGUAUGAGGGCACUAGCCUCCUGGAAGCAAGAGCCCUCUAUGUGGAGCUGGAAUCGAUAAAGAUUGAUGAAGAUGGCCUUGUCCCUGCCCUGGCAACGCAAAUUGCCCUGUACUGGGCAUUUGACAUUGUUUUUUCACCAAAAGCGCAAAAAACAUUCGACCUAAUAUGCCGCAUGGUCGGCAUUAAUAGCGGUGUGCGGCCAACUCCGCUUGUGCGUGUGGCACACACGUUGCUGCAGUAAAAGAAAAUAAAGUGUUCUGUUGUUUCAAUUGUCCAUACUUUGUGUUACAAGCACCCAAGCAGCGCUUGACCAAGCAGCUCUUGUUCUGUUUCUUAAAAGCAUGUUUGAGAUAAAAAAAAUUAAUCCCAACCCAAGCAGCUUUGCUCAUGUCUUGGGCCUCUGAAAAGCAUGUUCGAGGCAAAAAAUUAACCCCAUAAGGAGUAACUACAGAAAUGGAGGACUAAACUGUUGAUCCCCUGGGGAGUAACUGCAAGG